UACGUAGGGGGCUAGCGUUGUCCGGAAUCAUUGGGCGUAAAGAGCGUGUAGGCGGCCAUACAGGUCCGUUGUGAAAACUCGAGGCUUAACCUCGAGACGUCGAUGGAAACCGUAUGGCUAGAGUCCGGAAGAGGAGAGUGGAAUUCCUGGUGUAGCGGUGAAAUGCGCAGAUAUCAGGAAGAACACCCGUGGCGAAGGCGGCUCUCUGGGACGGUACUGACGCUGAGACGCGAAAGCGUGGGGAGCGAACAGG
rnacentral:rRNA from 1 species